rnacentral:lncRNA from 1 species
GGUAUAUUGAAAAGUCUGAUUCAGUUACAAUCAGUGUAUGGAAUCACAAGAAGAUCCAUAAGAAACAAGGUGCUGGAUUUCUCCGUUGUGUUCAUCUUCUUUCCAGUGCCAUCAACCACCUCAAAGACACUGGUUCAGGAAGAGCUACAGCGGGGAGAAAAGGAUCUUUGCUGAUGUUGAACAUCAACAGGGAAACCAGGCCUGAGCGGAUUCGCACAUGACAUCUCCCUGGACACAGGGAUGGGUUCACAAAGGGGUUGGAGUCACUGAGAUGUGAGGAGAAGUCUGCUGGCAGCUUCUGGGACAUUACACCCUGGUGCUGAAGAGAUUGCUGCCGGAAGAGGCUGUCUUCCUGGGCAUGUUGUCAGCAAAUGGAAACCUAACAGAGACACUAUAAAGGCGACUAUUCCAAUGCUUCUGGAAUUGGUGCUGGGAGAACCCUGACAGAGCCCUUCUCCUCUGCUGUCUUGGAGGGCUGGGGGCGGGCCGACCCAGCACACAGGAGGCCUGCACCUCAGAUCCUCCUGGCUGAACCAGGCAGCAGAUCCACGCCGCGGGGCUUCCUCCCACGUGAGCAAACGCAAGAAACGACCCUGCAAAUAAAAGACGACCACCCGGGAGAAGCAGGAGAAACUCCCCAACUUGAAGUGAAUGUAUCAACAUUUCAGAAAAGAUGUUAUCAUCUCCCUAUCCUUGGCUGCAC